rnacentral:rRNA from 1 species
GUACACAAAAAUGCACAUGCUGUGAGCUCGAUGAGUAGGGCGGGACACGUGGUAUCCUGUCUGAAUAUGGGGGGACCAUCCUCCAAGGCUAAAUACUCCUGACUGACCGAUAGUGAACCAGUACCGUGAGGGAAAGGCGAAAAGAACCCCGGCGAGGGGAGUGAAAAAGAACCUGAAACCGUGUACGUACAAGCAGUGGGAGCACGCUUAGGCGUGUGACUGCGUACCUUUUGUAUAAUGGGUCAGCGACUUAUAUUCUGUAGCAAGGUUAACCGAAUAGGGGAGCCGAAGGGAAACCGAGUCUUAACUGGGCGUUAAGUUGCAGGGUAUAGACCCGAAACCCGGUGAUCUAGCCAUGGGCAGGUUGAAGGUUGGGUAACACUAACUGGAGGACCGAACCGACUAAUGUUGAAAAAUUAGCGGAUGACUUGUGGCUGGGGGUGAAAGGCCAAUCAAACCGGGAGAUAGCUGGUUCUCCCCGAAAGCUAUUUAGGUAGCGCCUCGUGAAUUCAUCUCCGGGGGUAGAGCACUGUUUCGGCAAGGGGGUCAUCCCGACUUACCAACCCGAUGCAAACUGCGAAUACCGGAGAAUGUUAUCACGGGAGACACACGGCGGGUGCUAACGUCCGUCGUGAAGAGGGAAACAACCCAGACCGCCAGCUAAGGUCCCAAAGUCAUGGUUAAGUGGGAAACGAUGUGGGAAGGCCCAGACAGCCAGGAUGUUGGCUUAGAAGCAGCCAUCAUUUAAAGAAAGCGUAAUAGCUCACUGGUCGAGUCGGCCUGCGCGGAAGAUGUAACGGGGCUAAACCAUGCACCGAAGCUGCGGCAGCGACACUAUGUGUUGUUGGGUAGGGGAGCGUUCUGUAAGCCUGUGAAGGUGUACUGUGAGGUAUGCUGGAGGUAUCAGAAGUGCGAAUGCUGACAUAAGUAACGAUAAAGCGGGUGAAAAGCCCGCUCGCCGGAAGACCAAGGGUUCCUGUCCAACGUUAAUCGGGGCAGGGUGAGUCGACCCCUAAGGCGAGGCCGAAAGGCGUAGUCGAUGGGAAACAGGUUAAUAUUCCUGUACUUGGUGUUACUGCGAAGGGGGGACGGAGAAGGCUAUGUUGGCCGGGCGACGGUUGUCCCGGUUUAAGCGUGUAGGCUGGUUUUCCAGGCAAAUCCGGAAAAUCAAGGCUGAGGCGUGAUGACGAGGCACUACGGUGCUGAAGCAACAAAUGCCCUGCUUCCAGGAAAAGCCUCUAAGCAUCAGGUAACAUCAAAUCGUACCCCAAACCGACACAGGUGGUCAGGUAGAGAAUACCAAGGCGCUUGAGAGAACUCGGGUGAAGGAACUAGGCAAAAUGGUGCCGUAACUUCGGGAGAAGGCACGCUGAUAUGUAGGUGAAGUCCCUCGCGGAUGGAGCUGAAAUCAGUCGAAGAUACCAGCUGGCUGCAACUGUUUAUUAAAAACACAGCACUGUGCAAACACGAAAGUGGACGUAUACGGUGUGACGCCUGCCCGGUGCCGGAAGGUUAAUUGAUGGGGUUAGCGCAAGCGAAGCUCUUGAUCGAAGCCCCGGUAAACGGCGGCCGUAACUAUAACGGUCCUAAGGUAGCGAAAUUCCUUGUCGGGUAAGUUCCGACCUGCACGAAUGGCGUAAUGAUGGCCAGGCUGUCUCCACCCGAGACUCAGUGAAAUUGAACUCGCUGUGAAGAUGCAGUGUACCCGCGGCAAGACGGAAAGACCCCGUGAACCUUUACUAUAGCUUGACACUGAACAUUGAGCCUUGAUGUGUAGGAUAGGUGGGAGGCUUUGAAGUGUGGACGCCAGUCUGCAUGGAGCCGACCUUGAAAUACCACCCUUUAAUGUUUGAUGUUCUAACGUUGACCCGU